GGGAAUAAUAAUAGAAUUGACGUAAAAGUGA
rnacentral:tmRNA from 1 species